rnacentral:lncRNA from 1 species
CGAAAUUGUUAGUAAUUAAAGAAGUUUAGGGACUAAAUGGUAAACAAGAAACGUUCAGGGAAUAAAAGUCGAUAUAUAGAAGAAAGAAAAGAAAAGGAGAAGGAGAUCGGGAAAGAGGAGGAGAGAAAGGGGAGGCGCUGCGUUGUCCAGCUACUGGUGGCCGACCGUCGAGGCAUGCAAAGCUCGCUGAAGGCACAGCAGAGGCCGGCGAGUGCAGCGGCAGUGGCCCUAGCAAGCAGCGAUGAUGGAAAUCGCGAGGAGGAAAGCUGCAGCGGCUUUCGGACGCCAUACCGGGCGUUUCUAACAACUUUGGCAGCCAAGUCGGGUGGCGAUCGACUCCCCUCGGCCUGAGCUUUAUUUUGGCGGCGGUGGUGUCGCAAGUGGUGGCCGAAGUUGAAAGUUCGCGAUAGAGAGAGAAAAUGGGUGGCAGCCGGAGUUUUUAGACUUUUCCAGGAAAUUCCAGCGAGCUAUGGCCGGCGAGUUUUCAGACUUUUACAAUACAUUGAUUUUCAAUUGAAGCAUGAAGAGAAUAAAAAGUUAAUGUCAUUUAAUAAAAGCUUAAAUGGCUUCAAUAUCUUCUUAUCAAAAUAAAGCUUCUCAUUUUUUUUCUUU